rfam:Pongo abelii chromosome 11.
CCAAUGGCUUUUUUAAAAGUCACAUUUUGAAUAAAAUCCAAGUGAU